AGAGGUGUGGCUCAGUAAAGAGCACUUGCCUAGCAUGUGCAAGGCCCUGGGUUCCAAUCCCAGCACCACAA
rnacentral:tRNA from 1 species